UACGUAGGGUGCGAGCGUUAAUCGGAAUUACUGGGCGUAAAGCGUGCGCAGGCGGUGAUGUAAGACCGAUGUGAAAUCCCCGGGCUUAACCUGGGAACUGCAUUGGUGACUGCAUGGCUAGAGUGCGGCAGAGGGGGAUGGAAUUCCGCGUGUAGCAGUGAAAUGCGUAGAUAUGCGGAGGAACACCGAUGGCGAAGGCAAUCCCCUGGGCCUGCACUGACGCUCAUGCACGAAAGCGUGGGGAGCAAACAGG
rnacentral:rRNA from 1 species